AACGAGCGCUGGCGGCAUGCCUAACACAUGCAAGUCGAACGAGACCUUCGGGUCUAGUGGCGCACGGGUGCGUAACGCGUGGGAACCUGCCUUUAGGUCCGGAAUAACUCAGAGAAAUUUGAGCUAAUACCGGAUGAUGUCUUCGGACCAAAGAUUUAUCGCCUUUAGAUGGGCCCGCGUUGGAUUAGCUAGUUGGUGGGGUAAAGGCCUACCAAGGCGACGAUCCAUAGCUGGUCUGAGAGGAUGAUCAGCCACACUGGGACUGAGACACGGCCCAGACUCCUACGGGAGGCAGCAGUGGGGAAUAUUGGACAAUGGGCGAAAGCCUGAUCCAGCAAUGCCGCGUGAGUGAUGAAGGCCUUAGGGUUGUAAAGCUCUUUUACCCGAGAUGAUAAUGACAGUAUCGGGAGAAUAAGCUCCGGCUAACUCCGUG
rnacentral:rRNA from 1 species